CCUACGGGAGGCAGCAGUGGGGAAUAUUGGGCAAUGGGCGAAAGCCUGACCCAGCAACGCCGCGUGAAGGAAGAAGGCUUUCGGGUUGUAAACUUCUUUUGACAGGGAAGAGCAGAAGACGGUACCUGUCGAAUAAGCCAUGGCUAACUACGUGCCAGCAGCCGCGGUAAUACGUAGGUGGCAAGCGUUGUCCGGAGUUACGGGGUGGAAAGGGCGUGUAGCCGGGCUGACAAGUCAGAUGGGAAAUCCGGGGGCUCAACCCCCGAACUGCAUUUGAAACUGUUGGUCUUGAGUAUCGGAGAGGCAGGCGGAAUUCCUAGUGUAGCGGUGAAAUGCGUAGAUAUUAGGAGGAACACCAGUGGCGAAGGCGGCCUGCUGGACGACAACUGACGGUGAGGCGCGAAAGCGUGGGGAGCAAACAGGAUUAGAUACCCGUGUAGUC
rnacentral:rRNA from 1 species